rnacentral:rRNA from 1 species
ACAGGCGGUGGAGCAUGUGGUUUAAUUUCGAUGAUACGCGAGGAACCUUACCUGGGCUCAAAUGUAUGUUGACGUAUUCUGAAAGGGAGUACUUCUUUCGGACAAUAUACAAGGUGCUGCAUGGUUGUCGUCAGCUCGUGCCGUGAGGUGUCGGGUUAAGUCCCAUAACGAGCGCAACCCCUAUCUUUAGUUGCCAGCAGUUCGGCUGGGCACUCUAAAGGGACUGCCGGUGUUAAACCGGAGGAAGGUGGGGAUGACGUCAAGUCCUCAUGGCCUUUAUGACCAGGGCUACACACGUACUACAAUGGCCGAUACAAAGGGCAGCGACACUGCGAGGUGAAGCCAAUCCCGUAAAAUCGGUCUCAGUCCGGAUUGGAGUCUGCAACUCGACUCCAUGAAGUUGGAAUCGCUAGUAAUCGUGGAUCAGCAUGCCACGGUGAAUACGUUCCCGGGCCUU